rnacentral:rRNA from 1 species
UACGUAGGGGGCAAGCGUUGUCCGGAUUUAUUGGGCGUAAAGAGCGUGUAGGCGGCCAGGUAGGUCGGUUGUGAAAACUGGAGGCUCAACCUUCAGAGGUCGACCGAAACCAUCUGGCUAGAGUCCGGGAGAGGAGAGUGGAAUUCCUGGUGUAGCGGUGAAAUGCGCAGAUAUCGGGAAGAACACCCGUGGCGAAGGCGGCUCUCUGGGACGGUACUGACGCUGAGACGCGAAAGCGUGGGGAGCGAACAGG